AUACGUAGGGUGCAAGCGUUAUCCGGAAUUAUUGGGCGUAAAGAGCUCGUAGGCGGUUUGUCGCGUCUGCUGUGAAAACUGGAGGCUCAACCUCCAGCCUGCAGUGGGUACGGGCAGACUAGAGUGCGGUAGGGGAGAUUGGAAUUCCUGGUGUAGCGGUGGAAUGCGCAGAUAUCAGGAGGAACACCGAUGGCGAAGGCAGAUCUCUGGGCCGUAACUGACGCUGAGGAGCGAAAGGGUGGGGAGCAAACAGGCUUAGAUACCCUGGUAGUCCACCCCGUAAACGUUGGGAACUAGUUGUGGGGUCCAUUCCACGGAUUCCGUGACGCAGCUAACGCAUUAAGUUCCCCGCCUGGGGAGUACGGCCGCAAGGCUAAA
rnacentral:rRNA from 1 species